rnacentral:misc_RNA from 1 species
UCCUGGUUUCCCAGGCAGUCCCAUCAGAGUGCCUCGUUAAGAGUAGCAACUGAUAGCAGGGGUUGCGCUCGUUAAAGGACUUAACCCAACAUCUCACGACACGAGCUGACGACAGCCAUGCAGCACCUGUGCUUAUGUUUAGGGUUACCCCUAAAAGAUUGCAUCUCUGCAACUGUCAUAAGCAUGUCAAGCCUAGGUAAGGUUCCUCGCGUAGUGUCGAAUUAAACCACAUGUUCCACCGCUUGUGCGGACCCCCGUCAAUUCCUUUAAGUUUUAAUCUUGCGACCGUACUCCCCAGGCGGAUCACUUAACGCGUUAGCUACGACACUGACUCUGCCAAGCAAAGCCAACGUCUAGUGAUCAUCGUUUACGGCGUGGACUAC